GUUUUGAUAGCUUAAUAAAAGCGUGACAUUGAAGAUGUUAAUAUGAGACUAGUGCUCUCAGAACA
rnacentral:tRNA from 1 species